GGAGUUUGGACCGUCUCUCAGUUCCAAUGUGGCCGGUCAUCCUCUCAGAUCGGCUACCGAUCGUCGACUUGGUGGGCCGUUACCUCACCAACUAUCUAAUCGGACGCGAACUCACCCCAAACCGGAUUGCUCCUUUUACCCCUGUGCCAUGCGACACCGUGGUCUCAUGCGGUAUUAGCACCUGUUUCCAAGUGUUAUCCCCCUGUCUGGGACAGAUUGUUCACGCGUUACUCACCCGUCCGCCACUCGAAUACAUCCCUUCCAGGCCGAAGCCCUUCCGCAAUGUAUCCCCGUUCGACUUGCAUGUGUUAAGCACGCCGCCAGCGUUCGUCCUCGAGCCACGGAGUCAAACUACU
rnacentral:rRNA from 1 species